rnacentral:tRNA from 1 species
GCCCCAGUGGCUCAGUGGAUGAAACGGCGGUUUCCUAAACCGUUGGUCGCAAGUUCGAUUCUUGCCUGGGGCG